rnacentral:rRNA from 1 species
AUGAACGCUAGCUACAGGCUUAACACAUGCAAGUCGAGGGGCAGCAUGGUCUUAGCUUGCUAAGGCCGAUGGCGACCGGCGCACGGGUGAGUAACACGUAUCCAACCUGCCGUCUACUCUUGGACAGCCUUCUGAAAGGAAGAUUAAUACAAGAUGGCAUCAUGAGUCCGCAUGUUCACAUGAUUAAAGGUAUUCCGGUAGACGAUGGGGAUGCGUUCCAUUAGAUAGUAGGCGGGGUAACGGCCCACCUAGUCUUCGAUGGAUAGGGGUUCUGAGAGGAAGGUCCCCCACAUUGGAACUGAGACACGGUCCAAACUCCUACGGGAGGCAGCAGUGAGGAAUAUUGGUCAAUGGGCGAGAGCCUGAACCAGCCAAGUAGCGUGAAGGAUGACUGCCCUAUGGGUUGUAAACUUCUUUUAUAAAGGAAUAAAGUCGGGUAUGGAUACCCGUUUGCAUGUACUUUAUGAAUAAGGAUCGGCUAACUCCGUGCCAGCAGCCGCGGUAAUACGGAGGAUCCGAGCGUUAUCCGGAUUUAUUGGGUUUAAAGGGAGCGUAGAUGGAUGUUUAAGUCAGUUGUGAAAGUUUGCGGCUCAACCGUAAAAUUGCAGUUGAUACUGGAUAUCUUGAGUGCAGUUGAGGCAGGCGGAAUUCGUGGUGUAGCGGUGAAAUGCUUAGAUAUCACGAAGAACUCCGAUUGCGAAGGCAGCCUGCUAAGCUGCAACUGACAUUGAGGCUCGAAAGUGUGGGUAUCAAACAGGAUUAGAUACCCUGGUAGUCCACACGGUAAACGAUGAAUACUCGCUGUUUGCGAUAUACGGCAAGCGGCCAAGCGAAAGCGUUAAGUAUUCCACCUGGGGAGUACGCCGGCAACGGUGAAACUCAAAGGAAUUGACGGGGGCCCGCACAAGCGGAGGAACAUGUGGUUUAAUUCGAUGAUACGCGAGGAACCUUACCCGGGCUUAAAUUGCAGAUGAAUUACGGUGAAAGCCGUAAGCCGCAAGGCAUCUGUGAAGGUGCUGCAUGGUUGUCGUCAGCUCGUGUCGUGAGAUGUUGGGUUAAGUCCCGCAACGAGCGCAACCCUUACCUUUAGUUGCUACGCAAGAGCACUCUAGAGGGACUGCUGUUGACAAAACGGAGGAAGGUGGGGAUGACGUCAAAUCAUCAUGCCCCUUAUGACCUGGGCUACACACGUACUACAAUGGGAGUUAAUAGACGGAAGCGAGAUCGCGAGAUGGAGCAAACCCGAGAAACACUCUCUCAGUUCGGAUCGUAGGCUGCAACUCGCCUACGUGAAGUCGGAAUCGCUAGUAAUCGUGGAUCAGAAUGCCACGGUGAAUACGUUCCCGGGCCUUGUACACACCGCCCGUCAAGCCAUGGGAGCCGGGGGUACCUGAAGUGCGUAACCGCGAGGAGCGCCCUAGGGUAAAACUGGUGACUGGGGCU